rnacentral:sRNA from 1 species
AACGAUAAUACAGUUUUAAUCUGGUUCUUCAUAUUAUUUAUCUGGAUAGCUAAUAAGUAGUACAGAAUAUUUGGACCACUGUACAGCAGUUUCUUUAUAAACCUUGGAUUUGUAUACUUGAGAAAACUGUAAAAGAUUUUUCAGACUUUGAUGUCUAUUAAGAAACUAUAGUGUGUAUCAUUAUGCAUGAGGACGGCAAACUGGAUUAGAAUUUAACUGCUAAAGUCAAGUCACAGAACCCAAAGUGACAAUGCUUACAAAUCCACAUUUAUUACUACUAAAGAAUUACUACUAAAUUAUUACUACUAAGGCAUUAAAAGUAAAGAUGUGUAUUAUAGCCAAGGACUGUCUCACAGUAAGGAGUAUGGAGAGGCCAAGUAAAAGCUACUAUUGUUCCCUGCUUUAGAGCCUUGGCAGGACACAUUUUCUUAGAUCAGGAACCACUUAUGUGUGCAGGCAAACAGCUUGGAACCAGGGAAUGCAAAAUGGACUCAUAGCUGGAGAUUUUUAUAUUUUUGCUGGUCACGUAGGUAGGCAUCUUGAUGCUAAGUAACCAGCUUCAACAGCAGAGCCCUCCAGGGUUCUCAGACCAAGCUAUCAGUCUCACUCCUACCAAUAAAGAAUACUAGCACAGUGCCCUGCAACUCCUCAGAUCCAUGAGUACAAAUCAACAUUAUUAGUAUUUUCAUGCCUUGAUCAGGGGUCAGUGCCAUGCAGAACAGCUCAGCCUGAUUCCAGAUGUGUCAGAAUUAACCCUUACAGCACAGUGUUAUGUUUGGGGGGAAGGGGUGGGGUAAAUACAGUUAUCUGGUUAUGUUUCCAUUUUGUAGAGGUAGCUUCAGUUGUCCAUAAAUGCUGCUAACUCAUACAAUAUGACUAUGCAGUGUCCUUAUAAAAAAGAUCAUAUAUUUACUUUUUGUCUCAUCCCCCUCAUUCUUUAACCAGAGAAAUAAGUCUUCUCAUAGCAUCAGGUACUGCUAGGAGGUAUAUAUUCUUAGACUGCAUAUUUCCCUUUGUCUUCUUUGAGAAAUUAGCCUCCUGUUUAUUGACAAACUGUAUUCUGAAAUGUCUUUCAAGAUAAGUUUUGUUUGCGUCAUACUUUCCCUUUUGUUAUUACUUUUUUAGAUCAGCCAUACCUUUGGGCUCGACUAGAUAGAAAACCCAACAAACAAGCUGAAAAAAGAUUUAAAAAUUUUCUACAUUCAAAAGAAAACCCAAAAGAAUUUUUUUGGAAUGUUGAGGAGGACUUCAAACCAGCUCCAGAGUGCUGGAUACCAGCAAAGGAGACAGAACAAAUAAAUGGGAACCCAGUGCCUGAUGAAAAUGGACACAUUCCUGGUUGGGUACCAGUGGAGAAAAACAACAAACAGUAUUGCUGGCAUUCCUCUGUAGUUAAUUAUGAAUUUGAAAUUGCCCUGGUACUAAAACAUCAUCCUGAUGAUUCUGGACUUUUGGAAAUUAGUGCAGUGCCACUUUCAGAUCUCUUAGAACAAACACUGGAGCUCAUAGGAACAAAUAUCAAUGGAAACCCAUAUGGGUUAGGGAGCAAGAAACAUCCAUUACAUCUUCUUAUACCACAUGGAGCAUUUCAAAUAAGAAAUCUACCUUCAUUGAAGCACAAUGAUCUCGUGUCCUGGUUUGAAGAUUGCAAAGAGGGUAAAAUUGAAGGAAUAGUGUGGCAUUGCAGUGAUGGCUGUUUAAUAAAGGUCCAUCGCCAUCAUCUUGGCUUAUGCUGGCCAAUUCCAGAUACUUACAUGAAUUCAAGACCAGUUAUUAUCAACAUGAACCUGAACAAAUGUGACUCUGCCUUUGAUAUUAAGUGUUUGUUUAAUCAUUUUUUAAAAAUAGAUAAUCAGAAAUUUGUUAGACUCAAAGAUAUAAUAUUUGAUGUAUAAA